rnacentral:rRNA from 1 species
GGAAUAUUGCACAAUGGGCGAAAGCCUGAUGCAGCAACGCCGCGUGAGGGACGACGGCCUUCGGGUUGUAAACCUCUUUUAGUAGGGAAGAAGCGAAAGUGACGGUACCUGCAGAAAAAGCACCGGCUAACUACGUGCCAGCAGCCGCGGUAAUACGUAGGGUGCAAGCGUUAUCCGGAAUUAUUGGGCGUAAAGAGCUCGUAGGCGGUUUGUCGCGUCUGCUGUGAAAACUGGAGGCUCAACCUCCAGCCUGCAGUGGGUACGGGCAGACUAGAGUGCGGUAGGGGAGAUUGGAAUUCCUGGUGUAGCGGUGGAAUGCGCAGAUAUCAGGAGGAACACCGAUGGCGAAGGCAGAUCUCUGGGCCGUAACUGACGCUGAGGAGCGAAAGCAUGGGGAGCGAACAGGAUUAGAUACCCGAG